GCCUGGGUGACAGAGCAAAACUCUGUCUCAAAAUAAAAAUAAAUAAAAGAGCAGCUGAUACAAUCUUAUGUUUGUGUUGUGGAAAAUGUUGUAAUUCUGCUCAACACCUCGCUCCUGCCUGUAUAACUGGUCGUCACCUUUCCCCACGCAGGGAGCACUGUUCACCAUUCUUUGGUGUCCUGUGUCCCCAGAUGGCUGCCCUCAUACUUCUUGCUUGAAGAAAGUCUUUCAACUGGAUCCUGAGCAGUUGAUUAUUUUAGGUUGACAUGUCUUUGGGGAUUUGGAGGGAAAUAGAGUCUAGAGCCUUGUUAACACGCAAGCUCAGUCGACAUGUUGUUUAGUCCAUGCAGUUGCCCAUUUCAGGCUGUUAAUUCAUGCCAGAAGGGACUUUUUGUGAAGAAUAUUUAGAGGGAAAUUUUCCCUUCCUGCAAAUAUAGAGACAGGCCUCUCCCUGCACUGUCUGGUGGAGACUGAGCACCACAAGUGACCUCAAGGUAAAACCUGGCUUUCAGUGUCUGUCCAUCUUUUUUUUCCUUGUUUCCCUUUAGUUUUUUGGCCCAGGUAUUACUUGCUUUAUUUGUUAGUUAAUGGAUAUGCUUAAUUAAAAUUUUUGAUCUGAUUUGUUUUUGAUCUUCAGGGGGCAGCCGGAUAUUCACAUUGCCAAACUGAGAUUCUAGACCAGUUUCCAGAACUGUGGGUCACCAUCUAUGAGUAGGUUAUGAAAUCAAUUGAGAAAGUUACGACCAAUAUUUUAAAACAGAACAGAAUGAAAUGGAGUGGGAGAGAAAAUAUCAUAGUUCAUCAGCCAUAGUAAGACAGGUCUCUCAGGGGAGGGGCCUGAGAGUCUUCAUGUCCAUCAUGCUCUCGGUAAUGCUGACUCCGCUGUUCUGGAGGACACACAGAGGGGCGGACCUCCUGAGCACACUGAGAUGGCAUCUCCUCUCUGCUGCUGUGACCACCUGGGGGUUCUUCCUGCCUGCUGCACAAAUAAAGACCAUGGUGAGUUUAACUGAGGCCAGGCCAGUCACACCCUGUGGCAGAUGGAGUUACUACUCAAAUCGGUCUCACUGA
rnacentral:lncRNA from 13 species